CAGUGAGGAUAGCCAGCCGGCUGGUCUGCAGGGGCUACCUCCUUUGAGAAGCUGAUCGCUCCUAGAGAUGACAAUCCUGGCCGCCCCGCAGGAGGCCGGGCUGCAGUAUGCAGUGUCCUCCACGUCCCUGGGCCCUGUCGGUCCUGCUCCUGCAAGCGGCAGGCCUGGGAAGGAAGAGUUAACCAGAAAUGGAGCGGCGCUGCUCCGGGGCAAGCAGGCUCGCUGCAGAACAGAGCCGAGAUCGUGCAAAGGCAAGUCAUUUCCCGAAACACUGCAGACACACGGCCUCGGGCAGCCUAAAACCUUUGGAGACCAAAAUGGCUCGCAGGGGUUGGAAGUAAUAAGGUGUUUUUCCCCUUCUUUCUCCUUCACUGAGAUUCUGCGAGGUUGCUCUGCAUGGCUGGGGAACAAUGGUGCUGUUUUUGUGUUUUCUGCAGCUCAGUAGUGCGGUGCGGGGCUGGCUGAGUGAAGUGCGUGCCCCAGUCGCUUUUGAGCAGAGCUCUGUGCCAUCCCUGGGUCCUCGGCAGAAUGAGCCAUGAAAGAACAUGACCUAUUUCCCUCCUGGAAAGUCUGUGAGGAUCCUUGGAGGCGACUUCAAAACUAGGAGCAGCAGAAUCGGCUUCCAUCCAACAAAUGACCCAGCAGCAGUGGGCCAGCAGCCACCGAAAUGACAUCUGUUAACUCUUUGUCAAAUGCCCUCUCCCAUCUCCCAAACAGCUCUGUGGUUAAUUACGACUUGAGCAUCUGACACAAGUCUUUCGAGUGGAGAGACCUGCUUAGGAAAAAUCUGGCUCCAAGAAAUUCCCUUCUCUCUCUCCCUCAAAAAAAAAAAAAAAAAAAA